CCGCGAGGUGGAGCUAAUCUCAUAAAACCGUUCUCAGUUCGGAUUGUAGGCUGCAACUCGCCUACAUGAAGCUGGAAUCGCUAGUAAUCGCGGAUCAGCAUGCCGCGGUGAAUACGUUCCCGGGCCUUGUACACACCGCCCGUCACACCACGAGAGUUUGUAACACCCGAAGUCGG
rnacentral:rRNA from 1 species